rnacentral:lncRNA from 1 species
GAUCAUAAUCCUAACGAUGUUCUGUGUAUUCCGGACGGUGUCCUGUGGAACGGGAAUGAUCUGGAGAAAUUUUUCAUUGCUGUUUCUCUGCCGAUUGAGUUCAGAUUGCAUCCAGAUCUUGUCGAUUGCGAACCGUUGUUACCGAAACCGUUCCGGAACAGUCCCGUUAUUAAUACGAAAUUCGUCAAUGAUACCCACGUCAGAGUCCCGACAAUUACAGAAUACAAUACGAUUGAGACCAGACAAAGCCGUUUGCAAUACGAUAGAGCGGACCGUGAUAGGAUUACGUUCCGACAGUACCCGAUCAUCCCGAGUAUGCCGACAAAUUUCGAACGGAUAACUUCCGUCAGCGUCGGUUCACUGUUUGGUCACUGUCUGAUCUCUGUCGGAUUACAUUCGGUAGAAUCGGGACGCAGUCGUGACAGACUCGGUCGAUUUUUACCAGGAGAAAGAUACAAAUUAGAUUAGAAGCGGAUUGAGAACGGGAUUAUCGGGAUAAAUUCACUUGGAAACGGUUGAAUAUCGACGCUUCCUGAACAAUAUCUGAUUGUUGUCGUGAUUAAAUUAUUUGUUUUACAAAUUUUAAUUAAAGUUUGAAUUUCCAUUAACGAUUCACAGGAUCUUGAUCAGAAUUUUGACAAAUUUUAAUCGGGAAUGGUCCUGUCAAGGACUGCAGUAAAAAUCGUGAAUGUGUGACCCCAGCUUAAGGAUACAUAUUUGUUUUCGCAGUGUCAUACAAAAAACGUAAAUACAAGAAUAGUGUGUAUAUUGUAUUUGUUUACUACAGUUAUUAUGUAACUUGUUGUAGAUUGUGUGCUUUCAUCUGUCUGACAAAUUGUGUCAUGUAUAUGAUUACAUUGUAUUCCAAUGUAGCUGUACACUUAUUUCCCAC